rnacentral:rRNA from 1 species
GACGAACGCUGGCGGCGUGCUUAACACAUGCAAGUCGAACGGAAAGGCCUCUUUCGGGGGGUACUCGAGUGGCGAACGGGUGAGUAACACGUGAGUAACCUGCCCUUGACUUUGGGAUAACUUCAGGAAACUGGGGCUAAUACCGGAUAGGAGCUCCUGCUGCAUGGUGGGGGUUGGAAAGUUUCGGCGGUUGGGGAUGGACUCGCGGCUUAUCAGCUUGUUGGUGGGGUAGUGGCUUACCAAGGCUUUGACGGGUAGCCGGCCUGAGAGGGUGACCGGCCACAUUGGGACUGAGAUAGGGCCCAGACUCCUACGGGGGGCAGCAGUGGGGAAUAUUGCACAAUGGGUGGAAGCCUGAGGCAGCCACGCCGUGUGCGGGAUGACGGCCUUCGGGUUGUAAACCGCUUUCGCUCAUGACGAAGCUUUGUGUGACGGUAGUUGGGAAAGAAGCACCGGCUAACUACGG